UAUGACUGGGUACACACGGCUACAAUGGACAGAACAAAGGGCAGGAAACCGCGAGGUUAAGCCAAUCCCACAAAUCUGUUCUCAGUUCGGAUCGCAGUCUGCAACUCGACUGCGUGAAGCUGGAAUCGCUAGUAAUCGCGGAUCAGCAUGCCGCGGUGAAUACGUUCCCGGGCCUUGUACACACCGCCCGUCACACCACGAGAGUUUGUAACACCCGAAGUCGGUGAGGUAACCUUUUAGGAGCCAGCCGCCGAAGGUGGACAGAUGAUUGGGGU
rnacentral:rRNA from 1 species